AUGCUGCCCAUUUUACAGAUGAGAACACAAACAAAAAGGGGUCACAGAGCAGCACCAGAGGCAAGAGUCGACCUUGGAUCUCUUCUGGCUCUGAGGUCACGGAGUACUCUACCCUCCACCGUGUUCUUCCUCCCGCUGCUCCCUGCAGGUCUACAUUGGACAGAAAGGCCAGGCCCCAUCCUCCCAGUUCCCUCAGAGCUUUACAGACAGGCCAACAACAGCAGGAAACUGAGGUUCAUCCCAAAUCCAGGAACCAGAGGAGAUGGGAGAGGCCGUGCCCUCUGGCCAGGCUACAGGGAUCAUGAGGAAAGCUCCCAUUUUGUCCUGGAUUCUGGCACUCUUGCUGCAACCACAGAUGGACAUUGCGGGGAGGCCCAGGCUAGUCCCCUGGGGCUGGGCAGCCAGCCAGAGAGGCAGAAAUGAGAAGAAAGUGGCCUCUGGGGAGGGACACCACUCUGUGAGCUGUACCCUAAGAGAGACAGAUUAUGGCUGAAAGAGGAUCCAUUUUAGCUGCCUCCCGUUACAGAUGAGGAAACUGAGGCCCAUCCAUAGCCCCAUCUCUGGGCCUGGCUCUCAAUCCACUGAGCCACCCAGCUGCCCCAGUGAAGUCCCUUUCAGAGAGUUUUAUAGUGAGUCAGUGUUGACCCAAGGCCGAGGAGCCCUCCUGACAUCAUCCUACGUCCUCUGUGGUUCUUCCUGAAACGGUCAGGGUUCCAGCCUCCUCUGGGAAGGCUUCUUUGAUCAUCACCCCUGUCCUGCCCCCCAGCACUGCCUCUCUUGUCCUUCCUCAGCUCUCCCGAUUCCUCCUUCUUUGUUGUCUCCAGCACCUAUUAGGUUUCCUGUCUAAUCCCCUGGCCAGAUCUCCAGCCAUUAACUGUGGGUUCCAGCCAGCAUCGGGCCCUUUUCAGCUUUGGAAGCCCAGUUAGGUCCCAGAGUCAUGCCCAUGUUGGAGGAAGAAGCAGGAGGGACCUUAGAACAGGAAAUGGUAGAGCUGAGAGAGGCCUUAGAACAGAUCAUUAAAACCAGGAGGUAUCUGAGAACAAAAAAGGUUAGAUCCUAGAAGGGACCUGAAAAUGGGAGAAUGAGGAGGGCCUCAGAACAGGGAGUGUCAAGGCUGGGAGGGGUCUAGAACAGGGAGGGUCAGGGCUGGGAGGGGCCUAGAACAGGGAGUGUCAGAGCUGGGGGGAACAUUAGAAGCAGGGAGUGUCAUGGCUGCGAGGGGCCUAGAACAGGGAGGAGUCUCAGAACAAGGAGUAUCAGAAGAGGAGGGGCCUUAGAAAAGGGAGUCUUAGUGCUGGGAGGAACCUAGAGCAGGGAGUGACAGGGGGAGGGGCCUAGAACAGGGAGUGUCAGGGCUGGGAGGAGCCUAGAAUAGGGAGUGACAGAGGGGAGGGAAUGUCAGAGCUGGGGGGAACUUUAGAAC
rnacentral:lncRNA from 1 species